AUGUGGGAUUUUUACCCCAAAUCCCACAGUCUUCCACCCCAACCCCAUUAUUUCCCCCAUAAAGACACUGGUCCCAACCCCAUAGCACCGCCCUAUAAGUGGGAAUGGGGUAGGCAGGUCAGUGGGGGGGUCCAGACCCCAAAAAGACCCCAAAUACCCCAUAAAAUAUGGGAUUUUUACCCCAAAUCCCACAGUUUUCCACCACAACCCCAUUAUUUCCCCCAUAAAGGCCUCAACCCCACAGCAGCACCCCAUGGAUGGGAAUGGGGGGGGGGACAGGUCAGUGGGGGGGUCCAGACCCCAAAAAGACCCCAAAGACCCCAAAAAUAAGGGAUUUCCACAUAUGACUCCAUAUUCCCCCCAUAUGACUCUGUAUUCCCCCAUAUAACUCCAUAUGACCCCAUAUUCUCCCCCAUAUGACCCCAUAUAACCCCAUAUCACCAUAUAUAACCCUAUAUAACCUCAUAUUCCCCCCAUAUAUCCUCCAUAUUACCCUGUAUAACCCCAUAUGACCACAUAUGCCCCCAUAUAACCACAUAUGACCCCAUAUAGACCAAUAUAACACCAUAUAACGCCCUAUCACCCCAUAUACCCCCAUAUACCCCAAUAUAAACCCCUGUAACCCCAAUUACCCCCCAUAUAACCCCAUAUAACCCCAUAUGACCCUAUAUAACAUCAUAUAUCCCCAUAUACCCCCUAUAUAACCCCAUAUAACCCCAUAUAACCCUAUAUAACCCCAUAUAACCCCAUAUAACCCUAUAUAACCCUAUAUAACCCUAUAUAACCCCAUAUAACCCCAUAUAACCCCAUAUAACCCCAUAUAACCCCAUAUAACCCUAUAUACCCUCCAUAUAACCCUAUAUAACCCCAUAUAACCCCAUAUACCCCCAUAUACCCCCAUAUAACCCCAUAUAACCCCAUAUAACCCUAUAUACCCCAUAUAACCCCAUAUAACCCUAUAUAACCCCAUAUAACCCCAUAUAACCCCAUAUACCACCCAUAUAACCACAUAUAACCCCAUAUAAACACAUAUAACCCCAUAUAACCCCAUAUAACCCCAUAUAACCCCAUAUAACCCCAUAUACCCCCUAUAUAACCCUAUAUAACCCCAUAUAACCCCAUAUAACCCUAUAUAACCCCAUAUAACCCCAUAUAACCCCGUAUAACCCUAUAUAACCCCAUAUAACCCCAUAUAACCCUAUAUAACCCUAUAUAACCCUAUAUAACACCAUAUAACCCUAUAUAACCCUAUAUAACACCAUAUAACCCCAUAUAACCCCAUAUACCCCCAUAUAUCCCCAUAUACCCCCCAUAUAACCCCAUAUACCCC
rnacentral:lncRNA from 1 species